rnacentral:rRNA from 1 species
AUUGAACGCUGGCGGAAUGCUUUACACAUGCAAGUCGAACGGCAGCACGGACUUCGGUCUGGUGGCGAGUGGCGAACGGGUGAGUAACAUAUCGGAACGUAUCCAAUAAUGGGGGAUAACGAGUCGAAAGAUUCGCUAAUACCGCAUACGCCCUACGAGGGAAGGCUGGGGAGCUUCGGGCCUGGCGUUAAUGGAGCGGCCGAUAUCUGAUUAGCUAGUUGGUGAGGUAAAGGCUCACCAAGGCGACGAUCAGUGGCUGGUCUGAGAGGACGACCAGCCACACUGGAACUGAGACACGGUCCAGACUCCUACGGGAGGCAGCAGUGGGGAAUUUUGGACAAUGGGCGCAAGCCUGAUCCAGCCAUUCCGCGUGAGUGAAGAAGGCCUUCGGGUUGUAAAGCUCUUUCGCAAGGGAAGAAAACUUAGCCACUAACAUUGGUUGAGGUUGACGGUACCUUGAUAAGAAGCACCGGCUAACUACGUGCCAGCCGCCGCCGUAA